AUUUUGUUUCCCUCUUCCUCCUCCUCCUCCUCUUCCUCCCCUUCUUUCUUUUCCUCAUUUUUAUCAUUUUUCUCUUCAUCUUCUUCCUCCUCUUCCUCCUCUUCCUCCUCGUUCUCGUUUUUCUCGUCCUCCUCUUCUUCCUCUUCCUCUUCCUCUUCCUCUUCCUCUUCCUCUUCCUCUUCCUUUUCCUCCUCCUCCUCCUCUUCCUCCCCUUCUUUCUUUUCCUCAUUUUUAUCAUUUUCCUCUUCAUCUUCUUCCUCCUCUUCCUCCUCUUCCUCCUCCUCCUCCUCCUCUUCCUCUUCCUCUUCCUCUUCCUCUUCCUCCUCCUCUUCCUCCUCUUCCUCCUCUUCCUCCUCUUCCUCCUCCUCUUCCUCCUCUUCCUCCUCUUCCUCCUCUUCCUCCUCCUCCUCCUCCUCCUCUUCCUCCCCUUCUUUCUUUUCCUCAUUUUUAUCAUUUUUCUCUUCAUCUUCUUCCUCCUCUUCUUCUUCUUCCUCCUCUUCCUCCUCUUCCUUAUUUUUCUCGUCCUCCUCUUCUUUCUCUUCCUCUUCCUCUUCCUCUUCCUCUCCUCUUCCUCCUCAUCCUCCUCCUUUUUCUUGUCUUCCCCUUCUUCAUCCUCUUCCUCCUCCUCCUCUUCCUCCCGUUCCUUCUUUCUCUCAUUUUCCUCCUCUUCCUCCUCCUCCUGUUCUUCCUCCUCUUCCUCCUCCUCAUCUUCAUCUUCAUCUUCUUCUUCCUCCUCUUCCUUCUUUUUCUCAUUUUCCACCUCCUGUUCUUCCUCCUCUUGUACCUCCUCUUCCUCCUCUUCCUCCUUUUCCUUCUUCCUCCUCCUCUUCCUCCCAUUCCCGCUUUUCCUCCUCCUCCUCCUCCUCUUCCUCCCGUUCCUUCUUUUUCUUGUUUCCCUCUUCCUCCUCUUCCUCUUCCUUUCCUUCCUUCUCCUCCUCCUCCUCCUCCUCCUCUUC
rnacentral:lncRNA from 1 species